AAUAACACGAUACCAAAUAACACAGUCUCGUGAUAGUCAUUUAAUGGUGGUAGGAUUACUUGUGAGUCCACACGGGUAGGUAUCACCACUCUGCCUAUUUAAUUUUCUGCCGUGAAGCAGUAAUGCGUUUCGGUUUGAAGGGCGGGGCAGCCGUUGUACUGUUAAAAGUAAGACCUUAGAACGCAUGUCUCAAGGUGGGCUUACAUUGUUGAUGUCUAUGUGCUCCGGUAACCACUUAGCACCAGGUGGGCCGUGAGUUCGUCCACACAUGUAUCUAAGCGAUAAAAAAAUAAUUAGGUACAUUAUUCCGAAACAAACAAAUGAGUGUGAACUAUUUCGGAACAUGUUACAAGCAUGCGUGUCGUAUGAGAGACACAAAUCCUUGUUAACUGACAAUAAUGGCGAAUUACAAUAAGAUGCAAGUCAUCCAUUCAGUUUCAAGUCCAACGACCCAAAAACGUUCGUUCUCGAAUAAAGUCGCGAUCCAAAUCCGUUCGAACUCCCGAAAGAAUUAAACAAAUCACGCCACUACAAAAACAUUGAAACAUUCCGAAUACAAAUUACGGACCACACAUCGUUCUCAAACCGAUAUUAUUGUCAAAGAGUAAAAACUUAAAAAUAGAACGUGUCCGCUUGCUGAUCAGUAAUCAACGCGCGCGCAACCCGGUGCAAACCUUUGAGAGAACAAUAACUUGUUGUUCGGCCGCGGCGGCGCGGCGGUGUCGAAACCCGAGGUCGUGCGAAGAUGCUGAUGAAACUGAAAUGAGCACGUAAGUGGAAAGAUUGUAACGAACCAUCAACGGAUCUGUCUGUCAACGAACAUAUGACCAAAGUUAUGUUUAUAGACAGAAUGGAAGGAACACCUUAGAAUUCACUGGCGCACUCAACUUACACUUACUCAAAUAAUUCGUUUACCUCGGAUCCACCAUCACGGAUAACGGCUGUUGUUAUUCGAACACGCGUCGAAGAAUCGGAAUGAUCGAAAGUGCAAUGUUCCAGUUGCACAAAACUUGGAGAGACAGGAAUGUAUCGCUGUAGACGAAUACCGAAUAUGCGCACAUUUGUCUUCACCAGUUUUCUCUAUGGAGCUGAGACUUAGACCCUAAGACCCGUAUACUGCAAACGGGUUGAUGUCUUCGAAAUAUGGUCCUAAAGGAAUAAGCUGUGGACUAUGUAUCGGAUCAAUGCACCAAUACUCGCGAAGCUGAAAAUUAAAACAAGGCUUUCUAGCAUCUGCCUCAAGCUAAUCCUAGUACUUCGGACUCAUCGCCGGGAAAGAAGCAGACAAAAAGCUAAUGAUUACUGGUAAAAUGGAAAGAAAAAGAUCGCAGUGACGCAGUUCAAUGCGUAGGUCUGACCAGAUCCGCACCACCCUUGACUUCACAGUCUCAGCCAUAUCCGACAGUAUACUCGUAUCUGUCUAUAUUAGAACUACUCUACAAAUCUACAUCUAUAAUAUCUCUAAUAUAAUAUAAUCUCUAAAUACUAAUAUCUCUACAAAGUUAAACUAUUCAACUUCAAGAGAAAUUCUAAAAAAUAUAUAUAUAAAUAGCUGUUUGUUGUGUUUAUGCAAACCGUACCGUGUUCAAUUCAAUAGGGCAUCAUUUGCAUUGGUAAUGCGGCGGCCCGGCGUAUUGGUAAACAGAGUGAUUUACCUCCGACGAACAAGCGCUCAGACGAUAACAGUUUUUAUACAACAUACGAAUACAACAUUUUGAAGGCUAAUAUUAUAGUUUCAUAUACUGUUUUGUCUGUAUUUUCUUCAACACAGGAGAUUGAUCUGAAUAAAUAAAUAUAGAUCGUUAUAUUUACAGAUACAGACAAGGUGUCCUUAAACUAUGUAUUGCUAUAUUGACAGCACUGUUUGUUUAUGAGCUUGUAUGAAGUUUGUUCUUGUUAAAUAAAUAAAAAAUGUUUUGUUUAAAACUUCAUUCAUA